GUCGCGCCGACAUGGAGGAUAGCCGCGCCAUCGCGCCGCCUGGGAGGCAAGGAGGAUGGCCGCGCCACCGAGCCGUCGCGCCGUCACGGAGGUGAGGAGGAGGGCGCGCCGCAGAGUCGUCUGCCGCCGCGGAGGUGAGGAGACAUACGACCGUGGAUGAGGGGCAGCGCCGCCGGAGGCGAGGAGGAGGGCCCGCCGCCAAAGCCAAUGCGCCUUUGAGCCGUCGCGCCGCUGCGGAGGUCAGGACGAAGACAACGCCCGUGAAGGUAGGAAGCGGGCAAGCGUCCCGAUAAUUUCGAGUGCCGCUUGAUUUCACCAGGUAACACUGAUUUACUGGGCUGUGCUAUGAUUUUAUAACCCCAUCGCUGUGAUGUGCAACUGAAGGAAGCAGAUCCGUGGCGAGCUGUGCGACGGCGCUGACAUGUCUGUAUCGAAGUACAGGUUCCUCGGCGAACGGAAGGACAACGGAUGCGUGCUCGUGGGCUGUUCUGCUGUUGCCCGGCGGAGCAAUGAGGGAGAAAGGCCUGCAAUUUUUUUGUCGCUUUUAACUUGUUUUUCUUUCUGUUUUGAUUCUGAAGACGUUUGGUGCACAGUGGUUUGUAGGGAGGCACGUCAGGGCUCUGCCAUGGCUUCUACACGUCAGAGGAGCUUGUGUUGUGAUGAGAUUAAUGGCAAUGCCGGAAGGCGCUAGGCGGGAGGGAAGAAGGGGGCAGGCGACACCGGCAUCCGGACUUGGUGUUGUUCAAGUGGGGGUGAUGUGCAGCGGGGAGGUGGAGGUGCAGUUGGUGCUGGUUGCCGCAGAGCGUGGCCGGGAUGGGAUGGUUGUGUUUGCCCUCGUAUGUGUUGAUAACCACGACAGCGUCCUGGUACGACCUUUCCACCUUCUUCUUCAUCAGGCACUUCUAUGUUGAGCACCAGCAAUAACUUCUAUAUGCGUCCAUUUCCAUCAGUCUUUGGAAAAGAAUUGGAUCACAUUUCUUGUUGAAUGUAUCUUCAUUGUUAAAUUUUACAUCCAAGUGAGCUAGCUGUAGAUUCCAUGUUAAGAGUUAUUUCAUGAUUUUGUUCGAUGUAGUUUCAACAUAUGAUAUUACUUUUAUGAAUUCAGGAGAUGUAGUUUUAAUCUUAAGUGUUACUUUUCUGAUUGUUUUAUAUACAUGCUAAAUGCUCGUUGUUUCGCCAAAUCUCUUAUGUGCCCGAGCACGAUCUCGCCCUACGCGGUGCUCACGGGCGUGGGUCGUCGGAUGGGAUCAGACGCAUGGUGUUCUUCUGACCACGUCCUCCGUGAACCUUAUCCAGAGCCCAGUGCCCACCACCCAUCCCCAACAGCGCGACCGCGGAGAGGAGCCCCUCCUUCCUCCUCCUCCACCGCCGCAAUCCUCCACGCCGCUGAUGUCCGGAUGAAGGCCCGCGUUUGGGCGGCGCUCCUGGACGACCUUCUGUCGAGGUGCUCGCACACGUCCUGCCCUUCCGCUUACACUCCGUCUCCCGCCGCUGGGGCUCUGUGCUCCGCGACCCAACCUUCCUCGCGGCCUGGCUGCUGCGCCCUUGUCAUCCCAUGGCCCCUGCCUCCUCACCUUCUGGAGAGGCUCCCCGCCGUAGUGCAAUGUGCUUAGCAUGCCCCUAUCUCCUAGAACCACGGGCUACCAGGUUAAUCCCCUAUCUCCUGUGCCUCUGUGUGUUCUCCUAUUCUAGUGCUUGUUGUAAAUUCUGGCUUAGAGUUACUUUAUGAUUCGGCUAGAUGUAGUUUCAGUGUGUAACAAUUAUUUUUUAUUAGUUAAGUAGAUGUAAUUUUAAUGUUAAGAGUUACUUUCCUGAUUUUAUAAAUGUAAUUGUGAUGUUAAAAGUUACAUCUCCCUAUAUACAUGCUGAAUGCUUAGCAUACUUGGUUGUAAUUUCUGUGAGCUUUUAAUCGACUUGUGAGCUUGGACAAAGUAAAUUUUGGAAGAUGUGUGGAGUUCUUAUAAAACGGAGGGAGAUCUGAUAGAGCAAAGGAGGUGGCUCCCUGAGUUUCACAUCCAGCUCCACUAUGGCUGUCUUGCCCAGCAGGUCACCGCCUCCCUCCUUUGCUCCCUCAAUUGCGAAUUCUCUGCCAUGCUUGCUCUACUCGCCCACAGUGGAAGGUAAUAAUUUUGUGUUUCCAUUAUGGAGAUGAAUCGAACUAUGUUGAAUGCCACUACUAUUGUUUGUGUCUAUGUAAAGGCAUAUGUUCGUUGUGUGUAUGUGUAAAUUAUGGAGAUGUUUCUUUUGCAUGAACUUCCAGAUUGAAAAUUGAGAUAUAAAUUCGUUCCCAAUAACUAAAGGCUUUGAUAUGAGAUCAAGAUGCUUAGGAAUUGUGUAACAUGUUUAUGCUACUCUAGAUGCCAAAUUUUAUAUGACUUAAUGCAUCAGUGCAGUGAGAGAUCUCUACCCUAUUCUUGUUACAAGCAACAUGUUCUAACAACAAUUUCAACAUUGGUCUGAGUGAUAAUUUACAUCCUGUUUUUGAGGAUGGUGGGACUUUUCAGUUUGGAUCAUUGGAUGUGUAAGUGUUUGCAGGCACCUGCAGGUGCCAUCCGAUUCUUAAGUGCUUCGAGGUAUCUAUCGAGUAUCUUCUUGCUUGCAAACAAAUUGAAGUAGUUAUUGUCGAAUGUUUCACAUGAUUGAUAAGUUCUAUUGUGGGGUGUCUAUGCAUAUUGGUUCUCAGAAGUGUUUUUAUGCGCUUAUUCUACUGCGAGGCAUUUGUAUAUUUGAAUUUACAUGUAACUUUGUGCACUGAUAUAAACUUUGAUUUUUAUAACAUUUUAUUUUUGUUAUGUAGUAGCUGCGAUAUAUGCCAGCGGCUGUUCUAAUUUUCUACUGUUCUUAUAUUGUUUUUUGCAGGGGACUUUUGCAUCAACAGAGAUUACUCCAAGCACAUGUUAUUUUGUUGCCAUAGCAAGUGGCUGAACACACGAAACACCUGGCAUAAUUAGUUUAUCUGAGUUGAAGUGCUUGUUUUGUAGUCUCAUGUUGAACAGACGCACUUUUUUCAUUGAAGCUGACAUAUCGCUACUUUUCUCCAAAAAGAUUCUUCUGAUGUAAUUCUGAUAUAUUCCAUGAAUAUUGAAUCUUCUAGGUGUGUCUCAGGUUUUAGAUUUGUACCAAAAUUACAAGUUGCAUCAUGUUAA